rnacentral:rRNA from 1 species
GCGACGGCUAAUACGUGCCAGCAGCCGCGGUAAUACGUAUGUCGCAAGCGUUAUCCGGAUUUAUUGGGCGUAAAGCGCGUCUAGGUGGUUUGGUAAGUCUGAUGUGAAAAUGCGGGGCUCAACUCCGUAUUGCGUUGGAAACUGCCAAACUAGAGUACUGGAGAGGUGGGCGGAACUACAAGUGUAGAGGUGAAAUUCGUAGAUAUUUGUAGGAAUGCCGAUGGAGAAGUCAGCCCACUGGACAGAUACUGACGCUGAAGCGCGAAAGCGUGGGUAGCAAACAGGAUUAGAUACCCUGGUAGUCCACGCUGUAAACGAUGAUUACUAGGUGUUGGGGGUCGAACCUCAGCGCCCAAGCUAACGCGAUAAGUAAUCCGCCUGGGGAGUACGUACGCA